rnacentral:rRNA from 1 species
GGGAUUGCCCCAGUAACGGCGAGUGAAGCGGCAACAGCUCAAAUUUGAAAUCUGGCCCCCGGGUCCGAGUUGUAAUUUGUAGAGGAUGCUUUUGGCGAGGUGCCUUCCGAGUUCCCUGGAACGGGACGCCAUAGAGGGUGAGAGCCCCGUCUGGUCGGACACCGAGCCUCUGUAAAGCUCCUUCGACGAGUCGAGUAGUUUGGGAAUGCUGCUCAAAAUGGGAGGUAUAUGUCUUUCUAAAGCUAAAUAUUGGCCAGAGACCGAUAGCGCACAAGUAGAGUGAUCGAAAGAUGAAAAGCACUUUGAAAAGAGGGUUAAAAAGUACGUGAAAUUGUUGAAAGGGAAGCGCCUAUGACCAGACUUGGGCCCGGUGAAUCAUCCAGCGUUCUCGCUGGUGCACUUCGCCGGGCACAGGCCAGCAUCAGUUCGGCGCGGGGGAAAAAGGUUUCGGGAAUGUGGCUCCCCCGGGAGUGUUAUAGCCCGUUGCGUAAUACCCUGCGCUGGACUGAGGUACGCGCGUUCGCAAGGAUGCUGGCGUAAUGGUCAUCAGCGACCCGUCUUGAAACACGGACCAAGGAGUCGUCUUCGUAUGCGAGUGUUCGGGUGUCAAACCCCUACGCGUAAUGAAAGUGAACGCAGGUGAGAGCUUCGGCGCAUCAUCGACCGAUCCUGAUGUUCUCGGAUGGAUUUGAGUAAGAGCAUACGGGGCCGGACCCGAAAGAAGGUGAACUAUGCCUGUAUAGGGUGAAGCCAGAGGAAACUCUGGUGGAGGCUCGCAGCGGUUCUGACGUGCGAAUCGAUCGUCAAAUAUGGGCAUGGGGGCGAAAGACUAAUCGAACCUUCUAGUAGCUGGUUUCCGCCGAAGUUUCCCUCAGGAUAGCAGUGUUGAACUCAGUUUUAUGAGGUAAAGCGAAUGAUUAGGGACUCGGGGGCGCUAUAUUGCCUUCAUCCAUUCUCAAACUUUAAAUAUGUAAGAAGCCCUUGUUACUUAACUGAACGUGGGCAUUCGAAUGUAUCAACACUAGUGGGCCAUUUUUGGUAAGCAGAACUGGCGAUGCGGGAUGAACCGAACGCGAGGUUAAGGUGCCGGAGUGGACGCUCAUCAGACACCACAAAAGGUGUUAGUACAUCUUGACAGCAGGACGGUGGCCAUGGAAGUCGGAAUCCGCUAAGGACUGUGUAACAACUCACCUGCCGAAUGUACUAGCCCUGAAAAUGGAUGGCGCUCAAGCGUCCCACCCAUACCUCGCCCUCAGGGUAGAAACGAAGCCCUGAGGAGUAGGCGGACGUGGAGGUCAGUGACGAAGCAUAGGGCGCGAG